UAGACAGAGAACUUCAAAUAAUUCCGUCAUUGUUAUGUCUGUCAUGUUCAAGAAAUCAUAAUUGAUUUCUUGAACAUGUCAUUUAUUAAAUAAAUAAUUUAAAGCUCCAUUAAGCUUCAAUUCUAAUAUUUUUCUAACAGUUAUUUUGAUUAAACUGAUAAUGGCAAAUGAAGAGCCUUCCAAAACUGAAGAUUCAGAAAAACUGCGCAAUGAAAUGAUACAGACACGUACCCAUCAUGUUGUGCCCAAUCAUUUUAAAGACAACCUGCUUGUGCCUUUAGGUUGCUUCGCGACAAUAACUGCAUUGGCAAUCGGCUUGUGGAGCUUUCGCAAAGGCCGAAGCAGGCUCUCUCAACAAAUGAUGCAGAUCCGAAUUAUCGCCCAGGGCUUCACUAUUACAGCCCUUGUUGCUAGUUUCUUCACUGCAACUGGAAAAUCUUUCAAAUAGCCUCAUUCAAUUGUUUGAACAAAACUAUUGAGAAUACUCUCAAAUAACCAUUAUUUAAAUGAUUGUAUAAAAUAAAACAAAAUAAAAAUUUUGAUCCACGUAA